GGUCACUUAGUUCAGUUGGUUAGAACGCAUCCUUCACACGGAUGAGGUCGAGAGUUCGAGUCUCCCAGUGACCACCA
rnacentral:tRNA from 1 species